rnacentral:rRNA from 1 species
AUGGGAGCCAUCAAGUGCCUAUUAGUGGACCUGUUUAGUGCUGGGAGCGAGACGUCGGCGACGACUCUCAUCUGGGCCAUGUCGGAGUUGAUGAGGAACCCAGCCACCAUGGCAAAAGCACAAGCCGAAGUACAUAACAACCUACAAGGGAAGCCAAGCGUAACCGAGGACGACCUGGCUGACCUCAAGUACAUGAGGCUGGUCAUCAAGGAGACGCUCAGGUUGCAUCCGUCGGUGCCCCUGUUGUUGCCGCGCGAGCCCACUGAGGCAUGCAACGUCCUCGGCUACGACGUGCCGACGGGCACCACUGUGUUUGUGAACACGUGGGCGAUCUGUCGGGACCCCAAGCACUGGGAUGCCCCGGUAGAGUUCAGGCCAGAGCGGUUCGAGUCCGGCAAAGUGGACUUCAAGGGAAACAACUUUGAGUACACACCGUUCGGGGCAGGCCGGAGGAUGUGUCCAGGCAUGCUGUUCGCGCAGUCUAGCAUGGAGCUCACCCUUGCCGCCCUCCUCUACCACUUUGACUGGGAGCUUCCUGCCGGAGGGGAGUUGGACAUGGAGGAGGAGAUGGGCAUCGCGGUCGGUCGGAAGAAUGACCUAUACCUGCAUGCUAAAGUCCGUGUGCCUCUUAAUUAG